GAUGAACGCUGGCGGCGUGCCUAAUACAUGCAAGUCGAGCGAACAGACGAGGAGCUUGCUCCUCUGACGUUAGCGGCGGACGGGUGAGUAACACGUGGAUAACCUACCUAUAAGACUGGGAUAACUUCGGGAAACCGGAGCUAAUACCGGAUAAUAUAUUGAACCGCAUGGUUCAAUAGUGAAAGACGGUUUUGCUGUCACUUAUAGAUGGAUCCGCGCCGCAUUAGCUAGUUGGUAAGGUAACGGCUUACCAAGGCAACGAUGCGUAGCCGACCUGAGAGGGUGAUCGGCCACUCUGGAACUGAGACACGGUCCAGACUCCUAAGGGAGGCAGCAGUAGGGAAUCUUCCGCAAUGGGCGAAAGCCUGACGGAGCAACGCCGCGUGAGUGAUGAAGGUCUUCGGAUCGUAAAACUCUGUUAUUAGGGAAGAACAAAUGUGUAAGUAACUAUGCACGUCUUGACGGUACCUAAUCAGAAAGCCACGGCUAACUACGUG
rnacentral:rRNA from 1 species